AUCCAUUUCUGCUAAACAAAUCAGAAAAAGAAAACGUAAAUUAAAAUUUUUAGGUAAUAAACUGAAAAGUGUUUUACGCGUAUGAACUCUAUAUCUCAAAGAAAAUGAUACGAAAUGAUGUGAAAUAAGACGAUUUUCAAUAAACGCGAAUAAAAAAUUUCGUUCGUUUAUGGCUAAAACAUUUGUUCAACGCGGAAGAGCGUAAUCAAUUUAACAAGAAAAGUGUUGCACGUUUAAAAUCAACGGAAAGAUCAAUAUGUUAAUAUUUCUUUACGUUUGUUUAUGUCGAUUUCUCACUGCCCUCGAAAGCUUUGUGGAAUGAGCUAACAAUGGAAUUGAAUUCAAUGAGUGUUCGGGGCAAACAUUCAACGGGGUGGCGAUAAAUUUGACCGGAACAUAAAGCCAAAAAUGGCGGGUGUCAACAGAUUGUUUCUGCAGAAAAGACAAACUUCCUUGUUCGUCAGCUCGGAGACGUCAACACCAUCGUUUAGAUAAGUUGCGGAUGUUUCAGUAUUCAAAUCUUUGAAAUUCGCUGAUAUGAUGCAGAUAUGUAAUUCUUCAAUUUAUCCCACUGCUUAAUCAAUGAGUCAAGCAUUAAUUUGAUUUGAAUGCAAUGUCCUUGUCGAUAGGCUCACAGUUCAACGACUUCACACGUACGAAUCAUGGCAUGAUUCCGCAAGACGUAAGCAUAAAAGAUUCAUAUAAAACACUUUCGCUUUGCUUGGGCUUUUGAAAGUAAACGUGAGUUCCAGGUGCGCACCCAAUUACUACAUAUUCGUUUGUUUUAUAACAAAGCGCUACAACAUCGAAAGCAUGACAAAAAUUACCUACCACCUGGAAUCCUGAAUUUUCAAUAAAGCCACAACUUUAUCUUGGAAUUAACAAUACAUCGGAUCUACUUGCAAAGUUUUAUUUCGAUUUUUUUUAAAAAUCUUCUGACAUAAAAACUGAAAACGUAGACUGUGCAACGCUCGAAUAAAUCCUACAUUGGCUUGGCUUUAUUAAACGCAAUAUUUAAAAUGAUUUAUUUGUGAAAAUGGAAGAAAUUUAUUAUCUUUUUUUUUUAUUAUAUGUAUCGUUCCGAACUUAGAAC